AUCUUCUUGUGGCUCAUAAAUGUGCUGGUUGGGUUUCCACGCUAUUGUGGGAGAGGUUUCUGUCAAACCCUAUAAUGAUGUCAGUUCAUUGCCC
rnacentral:snoRNA from 1 species